AUUGAACGCUGGCGGCAGGCCUAACACAUGCAAGUCGAACGAGGGGCGGACGGGUGAGUAAUGUCUGGGAAAGUGCCAGGGGGAGGGGGAUAACUUCGGGAAACGAUCGCUAAUACCACAUACCAUCAGAUGUGCCCAGAUGGGUGUAGCUUGUGGGGGGGGUAACGGCUCACCAAGGCGACGAUCCCUAGCUGGUCUGAGAGGAUGACCAGCCACACUGGAACGGAGACACGGUCCAGACUCCUACGGGAGGCAGCAGUGGGGAAUAUUGCACAAUGGGCGCAAGCCUGAGGCAGCCAUGCCGCGUGUAUGAAGAAGGCCUUCGGGUUGUAAAGUACUUUCAGCGGGGAGGCGUUACACGCAGAAGAAGCACCGGCUAACUCCGUGCCAGCAGCCGCGGUAAUUC
rnacentral:rRNA from 1 species